UUUAUGCGGUAGUACCAGCCUCCAACCACCCGCAGCGCUCUCGAGCCCGGACUACAACAUGAGCCCUCUGGGAUGGAACGCAAGCAGCCUGGGUUGCUAUGGCUACCUAGGCAGAGCCACUGCCCGGAAGUGCAUCACGAGUGCGGCCGGCGACGGGAGAAGCGACGGAAGAGACGGAGGAGGAUGCCGCUAAUCCAGGGGUACUUAUACUGAUCUUGUAAGGAUUUAUGCGGUAGUACCAGCCUCCAACCACCCGCAGCGCUCUCGAGCCCGGACUACAACAUGAGCCCUCUGGGAUGGAACGCAAGCAGCCUGGGUUGCUAUGGCUACCUAGGCAGAGCCACUGCCCGGAAGUGCAUCACGAGUGCGGCCGGCGACGGGAGAAGCGACGGAAGAGACGGAGGAGGAUGCCGCUAAUCCAGGGGUACUUAUACUGGUUCCUCAGGGGUCCUUCUCGGUUCUAUUUCUGGAGACGGCUGGUAUAGACAUCAAGAGAACGCACCUCUUAAAAGCAGGAUCUUUUGAAAAGAAUCCGCUCCAGCUAGGCUGGCAUGGAAACUCAGAUGGUUCAUGAGGGCUGCAAUGGAACUUCUGAGAAAUCUCUUUAGCUGCUGCCUUAAGAGCCCUUAUAAAGCCAGAAUAAUAAAGU